rnacentral:rRNA from 1 species
ACCGGCAAACGGGUGCGGAACACGUACGCAACCUUCCUUCAAGCGGGGAAUAGCCCAGGGAAACUUGGAUUAAUACCCCAUAACACAAUUGGUUCGCAUGGACUGAUUGUUAAAGAAUUUCACUUGAAGAUGGGCGUGCGUCUGAUUAGGUAGUUGGCGGGGUAACGGCCCACCAAGCCUACGAUCAGUAACUGGUGUGAGAGCACGACCAGUCACACGGGCACUGAGACACGGGCCCGACUCCUACGGGAGGCAGCAGUAAGGAAUAUUGGGCAAUGGACGAAAGUCUGACCCAGCCAUGCCGCGUGGAGGAUGAAGGUCCUCUGGAUUGUAAACUUCUUUUAUCUGGGAAGAAAAAAGGGAAUUCUUUCCCGUCUGACGGUACCAGAUGAAUAAGCACCGGCUAACUCCGUGCCAGCAGCCGCGGUAAUACGGAGGGUGCAAGCGUUAUCCGGAUUUACUGGGUUUAAAGGGUGCGUAGGUGGACUGGUAAGUCCGUGGUGAAAUCCCCGAGCUUAACUUGGGAACUGCCAUGGAUACUAUUAGUCUUGAAUUUUCUGGAGGUUAGCGGAAUAUGUCAUGUAGCGGUGAAAUGCUUAGAUAUGACAUAGAACACCGAUUGCGAAGGCAGCUGGCUACAGAAACAUUGACACUGAGGCACGAAAGCGUGGGGAUCAAACAGGAUUAGAUACCCUGGUAGUCCACGCCCUAAAUGAUGAUUACUCGACAUACGCG